rnacentral:misc_RNA from 1 species
UCACACUCCCACGCACCGCUGCUGAUGCUGGUGCUUCUGAUGCUGGAGCCGCCUACUCCCGGCUUCGCCUGAGGAUGCCGGCCACGGCGUGGUGGCACGAGGGCCGCGUGCCUGCUCUGUGGAGACGCCGGGGGCCUGCGGCCUGGCCUUGGGUGCUGGCUGCGGACUGUUGGUGUGGGCGGGCAGAGGGCUGCGCCGGAGACACUGGCGGGCGUGACGGCACACGCGGGCAGGCCAUCCAGGCACGCCUCCCUCGCUCCCCCAGGCAGCAGCGCCGUGGUGGAACAGUCCCCAUGAUGUGAGAAUUCGAGUACUGCGGGCGCACCGCUUCAGCGUUGGUGGGCAUGAUUGAUCGCAUCCACGCAACGCACGCGGAGGCCAGGAUGCGCACGAGCGAGGAACGCAACGGUGUAAAGAGAUGCAUGCAAAUCAGCUCCAAAGUGCAUGUGUGCGACAUGUACGGUAUCCCCUGCAUCCGACCGAGUGGGCUGAUGGGGUGCAGAUGCCGAAGGCAUGACGAGGCCACCCCGAGGUGCAGCAUCCGGUCCUCCAGUGUCGCAUGUGAAAAGUUUCUACACUGCAUUAUGUGGUGCCGUGGAUCGAGGCGGCUGAUGUUUGCCCUUCGACUCUCACGGAUGACUGACUUGGGAACCACCAGGCUUGUGCCCCCCUUUCCUUUCGAGUGGUAGUCGCACGCCGCCGCCCCUGGCGCCUGUCAGAAGCGCCGCGCUGCAUCUCGACGUGCGUCUUCCAAAGCUGCUUCCGCAGGACCACCUACCUGACACCUAUGGUGAAACCGCAGCAGCAAGAGCACAAGGAAAUACCGGACUGCCUGCGGCGGAGGCGUUUGCCUGUGGCUCAGGCCCCGACGGACAUAGACGUUUCUCCCUCUCGUUUCGGUUGCCGCAUGAAGGAAGAUGCGCGAACAG